AGCACAGGAGUCAGCCUGCUCUGAUUUGCUAGUGAUGUCCUAACCAAUCUCCCUGAAAAAUUAUCUGUGAAAUUUAUUUCUAUACAUCCAACAAGCACAAUGAACUCUAGGUAGAAUAAAUUCAGUGAGGUCCACAUCAAGAACAUUGUAAUCAAACUGUUGAAUGUCAAAGACAGAGAAUCUUGAAAGCAACAAGAAAGAAUCAACUAUCAUGUACAAGGGAACCUUAGUAAGAUGAACAGUUGGCUAUUUAUCAGGAACUAUGGAAGCCAGAAAACAGUGGGCAUAUUUAAAGUGCUGAAAGAAAAGAACCUAUCAACCAAGAAUUCUGUAUCUGGCAAAAUUGCCCUUCAAAAGUGAGGAAGAAAUUGAGAUAUUCCCAAUAAACAAAAGCUGAGGGGUUCACUACAAGUAGACCUGCCCUGCAAGAAAUGCUACAAGAUGUCCUCAAGUUGAAAUGAAAGGACACUAAAUGGUAACUUGAAGCUGUAUGAAGAAAUAAAGGUCUACAGUAAAGUGCGUCUAGAGUGUUGACAGUUGUUUCCAUGGACUUCAAAUCAACCCAACCCUGUGAGCACAGACUUUCAGCACCAGAGUCAGAUUUCCCAAAAAUGCUAUUCUUGAAGCGUAGAGCCAGACUCACAGAUCCUGUAAAGAAAACAGAUCUUUCAGCAAGUGAAACACCCAAUCUUCCAUUGCAUGGGACUCACAGAGGUUCUGAGGGAGAGAUGUGAAUAGAAGGAGUGAUCAUCACUGUGGACUCUAUUUCUUCCAUCUGUGCGUGCAAGAUUUAUAUCUGUAUGUGUUUGUUUUAAAGUUUUAUUGAGGUAUAAUUGAUACACAAUAAUCUGUACCUAUUUAAUGUAUACAAUUUGAUGAGUUUGGACAUACUUAAAUACCUGUGAAACCAUCACCACAAUCA
rnacentral:lncRNA from 1 species